rnacentral:rRNA from 1 species
UACGGGGGGGGCAAGCGUUGUUCGGAAUUACUGGGCGUAAAGGGUGCGUAGGCGGCCACCGCAAGUCGACUGUGAAAUCUCCGGGCUUAACCCGGAAAGGUCAGCCGAUACUGCGGGGCUAGAGUGCAGAAGGGGCAACUGGAAUUCUCGGUGUAGCGGUGAAAUGCGUAGAUAUCGAGAGGAACACCUGCGGCGAAGGCGGGUUGCUGGGCUGACACUGACGCUGAUGCGCGAAAGCUAGGGGAGCGAACGGG